CAUCCAGCAAACCAUGUUCUGCCAUUGUCAUCACUCCCAAUGUAUCCAGUGCGAUCAAGUGUGGAAUGAGUUCUAACAAAAAUCUUAUCCCCUGAAUUGGCUGAUAUUACGAAAGUUCCUGUUAAAUAAUCAGUGGAGCAUAUCGUUUUAAAAUUUCCGAAGACCGUGCCUUGUACGUCCGCAUUUUUUACAAGUUGAUACGAACCAUAUGCAUGACAUUCAAUUCGUAUGCUAAAAGUAAAACCGUACACACCAUUAUACGGGGCUGUGAAGAUACCAGUAUAUCCACUAUAUCCUCCAUUUACAUUGGUAAUGGAGACAUCAAAUACUAGUAAUGUAUGAUGUGGGCUAGUAUUCCGUUCUACAGUACUCAUAUAGGCGUAGAAUGCAUUGGUUUCUUGUGUUGCUCGAACUUUACUUUGCCUUUCU
rnacentral:lncRNA from 1 species